GUUGGUCAGCUGAUUUUAGUCUCUGAGUUUAAUAACCUAUUCUUGGGGCCUGCUUGGAGCAAAACAGGUGGCUAAGAAGUGAUUGACAUGAGACUGCAUUUUGCAUGAACUCUCUAUAUGUAUUGCCCAAAAAGGUGGUGCCAGAGAACAUGUUAUUAGCCAGGAAGAAUGUAUUUUGAUUCAAGGAAAUAAAUGCUAAAAACUAAUACAAAGUAGAUUGGAGACUAACAACAUCAUUAAGGAGUUGUGUAAAUGGGAGACAAUCAUCCACGUAAGGUGACCUUAUUAAUUGAAUAAACUGAGAAUG
rnacentral:lncRNA from 1 species